CCAAUAGCGUAUAUUAAAGUUGUUGCAGUUAAAAAGCUCGUAGUUGAAUUUCGGGGUCAGUAGAUUGGUCGUGCCACUGGUAUGUACUGGUCUCACUGAUUCCUCCUUCCUGAUGAGCUGUAAUGCCAUAAAUUUGGUGUUGCAGGGAAUCUGGACUGUUACUUUGAAAAAAUUAGAGUGUUUAAAGCAGGCUAACGCUUGAAUACAUUAGCAUGGAAUAAUGAAAUAGGACGUUCGAUCCUAUUUUGUUGGUUUCUAGGAUUGACGUAAUGAUUAAUAGGGAUAGUUGGGGGCAUUAGUAUUCAAUUGUCAGAGGUGAAAUUCUUGGAUUUAUUGAAGACUAACUACUGCGAAAGCAUUUGCCAAGGAUGUUUUCAUUAAUCAAGAACGAAAGUUAGGGGAUCGAAGACGAUCAGAUACCGUCGUAGUCUUAACCAUAAACUAUGCCGACUAGGGAUCGGAUGAUGUUAAUUUUUUAAUGACUCAUUCGGCGCCUUACG
rnacentral:rRNA from 1 species